rnacentral:rRNA from 1 species
CAGCCGCCGCGGUAAUACGAAGGGUGCAAGCGUUACUCGGAAUUACUGGGUGUAAAGCGUGCGUAGGUGGUGGCUUAAGUCCGUUGUGAAAGCCCUGGGCUCAACCUGGGAAUUGCAGUGGAUACUGGGUCACUAGAGUGUGGUAGAGGAUAGUGGAAUUUCCGGUGUAGCAGUGAAAAGCGUAGAGAUCGGGAGGAACAUCAGUGGCGAAGGCGGCCAUCUGGGACAACACUGACGCUGAGGCACGAAAGCGUGGGGAGCAAACAGGAUUAGAUACCCCCGUAGUCCCUGUCUCUUAUAC